CUCUCUCAAAUGCAAGAGCAUUUAACUCUCUUACACUCUCCUCCUUCUCUCUAAAAUUAAUACACUAAAUUGAAUGUUCAAGUAAGAUUUUGUUAGGGCUUUUCAUCAUCAACAUCAUUUUAACAACAUAGCAAGGGUUGGAGUUUCAUAGUGCAAAAAAUCUUCCAAAUCGGGUCAAUUUCGGAUUUAGCCUUUGGAAGAAGAUUUGGUUGUGAUCGUGUGGCGAACAUUGCACGCUUGUAGAUUAAUCUAAACUUUUUGUAGCCGCUCAAGGUAAUCAAGUGAAUCAAAGACGUGAUGGAUGAUUGCAUUGCAUGUGAUAGGAUUGAGCUUGGACUUUUAUGGAUCCAUGAUUCAUUGCACCCGUUCAUGGGUUAUGCCUAGGAUCGUUAGCCAUCAUUGAACUAUCUUUUGUAGUCUAUUGAUGGUGUUGUGCUCCUCGUGCAUUAUUUGAUCCGAAACUUGUAAUCGUAUUUGAAUUAUGUAUGGAUUGCCCUAAUCUUUGAAUGCAUU